UUGAUUUUAAGUUAAUUAAUAGACUGUUAGCUUUCAAAGUUAAUUGUGGUAUUUUAGCCUGUUCAAGAUUAAU
rnacentral:tRNA from 1 species